ensembl:lncRNA
GUGUUCUGUGUUGCAAGCCAGCCACCAUGUAAGAGUCUUGACUCUUCUAAGACUAAUAGAGACGUCGUGUGUGGACCCUUAUCAGCCACCAGGGAGCAUUAGCUGCCAGCCACGGGAUGGUCCAUCUUGCACGUCCAGCCCAGUCGAACCUUUGGAUGUUUGUCGCCCAGGACACAUCUGACUGCAAUUGCAUGCAGGAACUAAGUUUCACCAGCUCUGAAUCAAGAUCUGUUGUGACUCAUGUGGUGUGUGGGUAGCAGCUAAAGACUUUCUGGAAGGAGAUGUCUCUAUGGACCAUGUCACUGCUUUUGCUGCUGGUGCUGAAGUCUGCUGUCACCGCCUGCUGAAAUGUCAGCAUUCCGAAGAUGUAUUCUCCUGUGUGACUCACAAAGUUCUUGUUUCCAGUCAUGAACCCAUAGUGAGGCCAGCUCCGUCUACCUCAACAAGUUCAAGAGGAAAUCAGUCGUCUAUGCAAGACUCUGCUCAUUGCUGCUUAUUUCCCAAUAUUUUUCUCCUUCAUUUCCUUACUAAUGGAAACCUGCUUUUGUAAUGGAGUAGCAUUUGCCAUCCUCCCACCCAAUACAGCUUUUGCCCAAGGUUAAAUUAAAAGCUAUACUUCCCUAACUCCUUGGGUCUGAGGCUGCCCACAUGACACAGGUUUGAAAGAAGUAACUUCAAGGAAGAUUCUCAUUUCCCAAUACAGGCACCUCCCUUGGUACCACGUCACUUCCCUUUCCUUCUUAGUAAAUGGAGAGCGAGCAUCAGACUGAAGGUGGAACAGCCAUUCUGCAACCUUGAGGAGAGGAGAUGCCUGAGAUAGCAGAGCAGGAAGAUAGAAACCUCCUGAAACACUGACUACAUCGUGGAGCCACUUGUUUGCUAUAUGGAGAAAAAUAAAUCCCAGUUUGGUUAAACUUCCAUAGUCAGGACUAUGUCAUGUGCAGGCAAAAGCAGUCUCUAAC